rnacentral:tRNA from 1 species
GAUUCAAUAGUACAAUGGUAGUAUAUCUUACUCUAGAUUAGAAUGUUGCAUGUUUGAUUUA